UUAAGCAUAUCAAUAAGCGGAGGAAAAGAAACCAACAGGGAUUGCCCUAGUAACGGCGAGUGAAGCGGCAACAGCUCAAAUUUGAAAUCUGGCUCUCGGGCCCGAGUUGUAAUUUGUAGAGGAUACUUUUGAUGCGGUGCCUUCCGAGUUCCCUGGAACGGGACGCCAUAGAGGGUGAGAGCCCCGUCUGGUUGGAUGCCAAAUCUCUGUAAAGUUCCUUCAACGAGUCGAGUAGUUUGGGAAUGCUGCUCUAAAUGGGAGGUAUAUGUCUUCUAAAGCUAAAUACCGGCCAGAGACCGAUAGCGCACAAGUAGAGUGAUCGAAAGAUGAAAAGCACUUUGAAAAGAGAGUUAAAAAGUACGUGAAAUUGUUGAAAGGGAAGCGUUUAUGACCAGACUUGGGCUUGGUUAAUCAUCUGGGGUUCUCCCCAGUGCACUUUUCCAGUCCAGGCCAGCAUCAGUUUUCCCCGGGGGAUAAAGACGGCGGGAAUGUGGCUCUCUUCGGGGAGUGUUAUAGCCCACCGUGUAAUACCCUGGGGGGGACUGAGGUUCGCGCAUCUGCAAGGAUGCUGGCGUAAUGGUCAUCAACGACCCGUCUUGAAACACGGACCAAGGAGUCGUCUUCGUAUGCGAGUGUUCGGGUGUCAAACCCCUACGCGUAAUGAAAGUGAACGCAGGUGAGAGCUUCGGCGCAUCAUCGACCGAUCCUGAUGUUCUCGGAUGGAUUUGAGUAAGAGCAUACGGGGCCGGACCCGAAAGAAGGUGAACUAUGCCUGUAUAGGGUGAAGCCAGAGGAAACUCUGGUGGAGGCUCGCAGCGGUUCUGACGUGCAAAUCGAUCGUCAAAUAUGGGCAUGGGGGCGAAAAACUAAUCGAACCUUCUAGUAGCUGGUUUCCGCCAAAGU
rnacentral:rRNA from 1 species